CUUUAUUAAUUUAUAAGUUUGUUGUUGAGAGCAUCAUCUCUUCUGCCGCUAUCUGUUGGGGCAGCAGCAUCAGAACCAGGGAGAUAAAAAAGACUCAACA